UACGUAGGGUGCGAGCGUUGUCCGGAAUUACUGGGCGUAAAGAGCUCGUAGGUGGUUUGUCGCGUUGUUCGUGAAAACCGGGGGCUUAACCCUCGGCGUGCGGGCGAUACGGGCAGACUGGAGUACUGCAGGGGAGACUGGAAUUCCUGGUGUAGCGGUGGAAUGCGCAGAUAUCAGGAGGAACACCGGUGGCGAAGGCGGGUCUCUGGGCCAUUACUGACACUGAGAAGCGAAAGCAUGGGGAGCGAACAGG
rnacentral:rRNA from 1 species